CGCGCUCGGCGGCUUUCUGGGGGUUGUGGGUUCUUCUCCGGAGCCGGGCGGGUGAAAGGGCGGGACUUGAGGGAGCGGAGGAAGAGCGGUUAUUCUUGCUGUUAGAAGAGAAUGGGGGGUGGGGACGAGGGCUGUGUUCCAUUUCUGAAACUAUUUCCGUCCAGUUAAGCCGGCCGGAAACCGGAGGAACCCGGAGCGCCCUCAGGGUCUCAAGCAAAAGAACAGUCUUGACUUGGUCUCGGAAAAUGGCUCGGAUUCGGUCUUGGAGAAAUCCCUGGAAAAGAUUAAACGGGCCAAAGGCGGCUCCAGGGGAGGUAACAGAGGCUGUAAAAGUGGCGAUAGAUGUGGGCUACCGGCACUUGGACUGCGCCUACGUGUACCACAAUGAGAAUGAGGUCGGAGUGGGAAUCCAGUCCAAGAUCAAGGAGGGCACGGUGAGACGGGAGAACCUGUUUAUUGUCAGCAAGCUCUGGUGCACCUGCCAUAAGAAGUCCCUGGUGAAAGCAGCCUGCAUCCGGAGUCUGAAGACCUUGAAGCUGGACUACUUGGACCUCUACCUCAUGCACUGGCCCAUGGGCUUCAAGUCUGGAGAGGCAGACUUGCCGGUGGACCACAACGGCAUGAUCAUCCCCAGUGACACGGACUUCCUGAACACGUGGGAGGCCAUGGAGAACCUGGUGGCCGCAGGCCUAGUGAGAGCCAUCGGGGUGUCAAACUUCAACCACGAGCAGCUCGAGAGACUUCUGAAUAAACCCAACUUGAGGUUCAAGCCGAUGACCAACCAGAUCGAGUGCCACCCAUAUCUCACUCAGAAGAACCUGAUCAGUUUCUGCCAAUCGAGAAAUGUGUCCGUGACAGCUUACCUGCCCUUUGGUGGCUCCAGGAAGCGUGAGGUUUUCCUAAAGAAGGAAGCAUGUUCAUUUGCCCUCGUGGCCUCUGCCCUGUACUCUUCUCUCCAGUGGGGGGAUGCAUCUGAUGGAAGACCCUAUGAUCCAGACGAUUGCUCAGAAGCACAGGAAGUCCGCAGCCCAGAUUUUGAUCCGAUUUCAGAUCCAGAGAAACGUAAGAGUGAUUCCCAAAUCUGUCAACCCAAAGCGGAUUCUCGAGAACUUCCAGGAAAGUGCUUCCUCCUUUUGAAUCACAUGGCAUCGGAGGCUUUGGGGUCUCCUCUUAGCUUGGGGAAGGGGUGUGCUGAUGUCGAGAGCCAGCAGCCACACCCCCUGUGGCUUUAACACUGCAGGGGUGUCAGGGUGAGGCCUCUGGAGUAGAGACAGACCCUUCCUAGCCCGGAGCUGUCGGAACUGAACUGGAUGGAACAGGGGGUGGGGGUGGGCAGGCAAGGCUGCAGCUAGAGUUCUCUCGAGGCUGACCCUCACCCCAGUGCCAGCCACUGCACCCAGGCUGCCCCAGUCCUGAUGUGUCGGGGCUCCAGCUGUCUCUCCAGGCAGAACUUUGGUUGCCACUAAGUCUCUGAUUUCUACCCUGCAGGUAGAGGCUAGGCCAGGCUGUGUCCCUCCCCCGGCCCCAGCUUCUCAGCUGCGGGCUCAGGGUUGGCUGUCCCUGAAUGGACGGGCUCUUAAUGCAAGCAAGGGUCAUAGUCCGCACGUGUGUUAGGGAUAGGAAGAGGGGAGAGCUGCUUAGAAUACUGCUUUCGAAGGACUAAAAAGAAAAACUACACAGUGAGCAUCAGUGCCUCCAGGGACCAGGGGUCUCCCUCACCAAGUGGGUGUGUGGAAGAAAUGUUUUUGGUCUGUGUUUCUUGGGGGGUUUUGUUGGUUUUGUUGUUGUGAUGGUGUUUUAUUUUGUUUUGUUUCAUCUUGUGUUGUUGUUUUGGUUUGCACGUUGGGAAAAUUUCUAUUCUGGAACAUCCCUUACCCUGUGGGCCACACGCAGGGCAUACCUGUCUUCCCAGGGAUUCCUAAGCAGCAGAGGCUGAGCCCGCCUGGUUUUGGUCCAGUGUCACAGGAAGUCUGAUCCCCACCUGUGUUUUGCAGCUGAGGUGGUUCAGCCGAAGAUCUACCAGACUAAGUUCCCAGUGACUGUUUUCUUCUGGUUUCCAGGUGUUUGAUUUUGAAUUAUCAGAAGAGGAUAUGACUGACCUCCUUGGCCUGGACAGGAAUCUCCGUUUGUCCACGUUCCCCAUAACUGAAAAUCAUAAGGACUAUCCCUUCAGAGCAGAGUUCUGAGGACCCUGCUCAGCCCAGAUGAAUCCUCGCCGACGCAGGGCAGCCCUGGACAGGGCAGGGGACACAGCUUGAUUUGGGUGGGCUCCCUGAGACGUCCCAAGAACUGAAUAUGGUUUGUGCCUGAAGGUGGAGGCUUCAUGAGAGCAGCGAUCACUCUCCACCGAGACCCAUUCAGGUUUUUGAAUCCGAGGAGCCCACAGUGCGCUAGGUUCUCACAAGUGCACGCGGCCUGUACCCUCAAACAAGGAUAUUUGAUGACUCGUGAAUAAUUUGCCUUCACAUUAAAAAAAAAAAUCAUGCUAUGGCAAUGUUGGAAUGUCUACAGUAUAAGGAACCUCCACCCCCA